AACGAACGCUGGCGGCAUGCCUAACACAUGCAAGUCGAACGGGAUCCUGGCUUCGGCCAGGUGAGAGUGGCGGACGGGUGAGUAACGCGUGGGAACCUGCCCAAUGGUCUGGGAUAACCGCGGGAAACUGCGGCUAAUACCGGAUAAGCCCGAGAGGGGAAAGAUUUAUCGCCGAUGGAGGGGCCCGCGUCCGAUUAGGUAGUUGGUGAGGUAAAGGCUCACCAAGCCGACGAUCGGUAGCUGGUCUGAGAGGAUGAUCAGCCACACUGGGACUGAGAUACGGCCCAGACUCCUACGGGAGGCAGCAGUGGGGAAUAUUGGACAAUGGGGGCAACCCUGAUCCAGCAAUGCCGCGUGAGUGAUGAAGGCCUUAGGGUUGUAAAGCUCUUUUGCCAGGGACGAUGAUGACGGUACCUGGAGAAUAAGCCCCGGCUAACUUCGUGC
rnacentral:rRNA from 1 species